rnacentral:rRNA from 1 species
UACGUAGGUGGCAAGCGUUGUCUGGAUUUACUGGGCGUAAAGCGAGCGCAGGCGGACUGUUAAGUAGGAAGUGAAAGGUCGGAGCUCAACUCCAACAUUGCUUUCUAUACUGGCAGUCUUGAGUCACGGAGGGGAAAGCGGAACGACACGUGUAGCGGUGAAAUGCGUAGAUAUGUGGCGGAACACCAAUGGCGAAGGCAGCUUUCUGGACGAUGACUGACGCUCAGGCGCGAAAGCCAAGGUAGCGAACAGG